GAUUUCCCAUAGCGCCAAGCUAGUAAGACCCCUUGCAGAUGACAAGGUUGAUAGGUCUGAGGUGGAAGCGUGGUGACACGUGGAGCUGACAGAUACUAAUCGGUCGAGGGCUUAUCCAA
rnacentral:rRNA from 1 species